GUGAGGAAUUUUCCGCAAUGGGCGAAAGCCUGACGGAGCAAUGCCGCGUGAAGGAUGAAGGCCUAUGGGUUGUAAACUUCUUUUCUCAGAAAAGAAUUAUGACGGUAUCUGAGGAAUAAGCAUCGGCUAACUCUGUGCCAGCAGCCGCGGUAAGACAGAGGAUGCAAGCGUUAUCCGGAAUGAUUGGGCGUAAAGCGUCUGUAGGUUGUUUAAAAAGUAUUCUGUCAAAGAUUAGGGCUUAACCCUAGAUAGGCAGAAUAAACUUUUAAGCUAGAGUUUGGUAGAGGCAGAGGGAAUUCCCGGUGGAGCGGUGAAAUGCGUAGAUAUCGGGAGGAACACCAAAGGCGAAGGCACUCUGCUGGGCCAAUACUAACACUGAGAGACGAAAGCGAGGGGAGCAAAUGGGAUUAGAUACCCUAGUAGUCC
rnacentral:rRNA from 1 species